UACGGAGGGAGCUAGCGUUAUUCGGAAUUACUGGGCGUAAAGCGCACGUAGGCGGCUUUGUAAGUUAGAGGUGAAAGCCUGAAGCUCAACUUCAGAAUUGCCUUUAAGACUGCAUCGCUUGAAUCCAGGAGAGGUGAGUGGAAUUCCGAGUGUAGAGGUGAAAUUCGUAGAUAUUCGCAAGAACACCAGUGGCGAAGGCGGCUCACUGGCCCGGUACUGACGCUGAGGUGCGAAAGCGUGGGGAGCAAACAGG
rnacentral:rRNA from 1 species